rnacentral:rRNA from 1 species
AACGAACGCUGGCGGCAUGCCUAACACAUGCAAGUCGAACGAGAUCUUCGGGUCUAGUGGCGCACGGGUGCGUAACGCGUGGGAAUCUGCCCUUUGGUUCGGAAUAACAGUUGGAAACGACUGCUAAUACCGGAUGAUGACGAAAGUCAAAAGAUUUAUCGCCAGAGGAUGAGCCCGCGUAGGAUUAGCUAGUUGGUGUGGUAAAGGCGCACCAAGGCGACGACCCUUAGCUGGUCUGAGAGGAUGAUCAGCCACACUGGGACUGAGACACGGCCCAGACUCCUACGGGAGGCAGCAGUGGGGAAUAUUGGACAAUGGGCGAAAGCCUGAUCCAGCAAUGCCGCGUGAGUGAUGAAGGCCUUAGGGUUGUAAAGCUCUUUUACCCGGGAUGAUAAUGACAGUACCGGGAGAAUAAGCUCCGGCUAACUCCGUGCCAGCCGCCGCAGUAA